rnacentral:rRNA from 1 species
AGAGUUUGAUCCUGGCUCAGAUUGAACGCUGGCGGCAUGCCUUACACAUGCAAGUCGAACGGUAACAGGUCUUCGGACGCUGACGAGUGGCGAACGGGUGAGUAAUACAUCGGAACGUGCCCAGUCGUGGGGGAUAACUACUCGAAAGAGUAGCUAAUACCGCAUACGAUCUGAGGAUGAAAGCGGGGGACCUUCGGGCCUCGCGCGAUUGGAGCGGCCGAUGGCAGAUUAGGUAGUUGGUGGGAUAAAAGCUUACCAAGCCGACGAUCUGUAGCUGGUCUGAGAGGACGACCAGCCACACUGGGACUGAGACACGGCCCAGACUCCUACGGGAGGCAGCAGUGGGGAAUUUUGGACAAUGGGCGAAAGCCUGAUCCAGCAAUGCCGCGUGCAGGAUGAAGGCCUUCGGGUUGUAAACUGCUUUUGUACGGAACGAAAAAGCUUCUCCUAAUACGAGAGGCCCAUGACGGUACCGUAAGAAUAAGCACCGGCUAACUACGUGCCAGCAGCCGCGGUAAU